ACUCAAAGGAAUUGACGGGGGCCCGCACAAGCGGUGGAUUAUGUGGUUUAAUUCGAAGCAACGCGCAAAACCUUACCUAGGUUUGACAUCCCAUGACAAUCAUAGAAAUAUGACUUUGUAGCAAUACACAUGGAGACAGGUGCUGCAUGGCUGUCGUCAGCUCGUGUUGUGAAAUGUUGGGUUAAGUCCCGCAACGAGCGCAACCCCUGGAUUUAGUUGCCAGCAUUAAGUUGGGCACUCUAGAUUGACCGCCGGCGUUAAGCCGGAGGAAGGUGGGGAUGACGUCAAGUCCUCAUGGCCCUUACACCUAGGGCUACACACGUAAUACAAUGGAUCGGACAAAGGGUCGCGAACCUGCGAGGGGGAGCUAAUCUCAAAAACCGGUCCUCAGUUCGGAUUGGAGGCUGCAAUUCGCCUCCAUGAAGGCGGAAUCGCUAGUAAUCGUGGAUCAGCACGCCACGGUGAAUACGUUCCCGGGCCUUGUACACACCGCCCGU
rnacentral:rRNA from 1 species